AUGCAAGAAGCACAUCCCGUCGCUUACUUGAGUAAGGCACUCUGUCCGCGGAACCUGGGCCUCUCAGCAUACGAGAAGGAAUGUUUGGCACUGCUGUUGGCAAUCGACCAUUGGCGACCAUACCUCCAACACGAGUUUCUGAUCCGCACCGAUCAAAAGAGCCUGGUCGAUCUCACUGAUCAGCGCUUGAAUACCCCAAUUCAACAGCGCGCGUUUACCAAAUUGGUGGGGCUACAAUUUUGUAUUUAGUACAAGGCAGGACUCCUAAACCGAGCCGCAGAUGCAUUAUCGAGACGUCGACAUGAGCAACAUUCAGAGCUGAAUGUCGUGUCAGUGUGCAGACCAGUGUGGCUGGACGCUAUUGUUGCCGGCUAUCAGAAAGAUCCAAUUGCGCGGCAGAAACUAGCGCAGCUAGCAAUAAAUCCGGAGGUCGAGAGUGGUUUCACCUUGCAGGAAGGUGUGAUUCGCGAGCACGACCGCGUGUGGAUUGCUGAGGACAAAGACACACAGCAGUCUAUCAUGAAAUCGCUGCACGACAGUGUAGUGGGGGGGGGGGGCACUCGGGAUUCCACGCUACAUACAAUCGAAUCCGACGACUCUUCUCAUGGAAAGGGAUGA
rnacentral:rRNA from 1 species